rnacentral:rRNA from 1 species
UACGUAGGGCGCAAGCGUUGUCCGGAAUUAUUGGGCGUAAAGAGCUCGUAGGCGGCUCGUCGCGUCGGAUGUGAAAGCUUGGGGCUUAACCUCAGGUCUGCAUCCGAUACGGGCGGGCUAGAGGCAGGUAGGGGAGAACGGAAUUCCCGGUGUAGCGGUGAAAUGCGCAGAUAUCGGGAGGAACACCGGUGGCGAAGGCGGUUCUCUGGGCCUGUACUGACGCUGAGGAGCGAAAGCGUGGGGAGCAAACAGG